GAUGAACGCUGGCGGCGUGCCUAACACAUGCAAGUCGAACGGGGUGAAGCCCCUUCGGGACUUCACUUAGUGGCGAACGGGUGAGUAACGCGUGAGGAACCUGCCUUUCAGUGGGGGACAACAGUUGGAAACGACUGCUAAUACCGCAUAAGCGCACAGGACCGCAUGGUCUGGUGUGAAAAACUCUGGUGGUAUAAGAUGGACCCGCGUCUGAUUAGCUUGUUGGUGGGGUAACGCCUACCAAGGCGACGAUCAGUAGCCGACCUGAGAGGGUGACCGGCCACAUUGGGACUGAGACACGGGCCCAAACUCCUACGGGAGGCAGCAGUGGGGAAUAUUGCACAAUGGGCGAAAGCCUGAUGCAGCGACGCCGCGUGAGCGAAGAAGUAUUCGGUAUGUAAAGCUCUAUCAGCAGGG
rnacentral:rRNA from 1 species